UUUCUUAUUAUAAGUUGUUAUAAGUUAUAAUAAGAUGAAUACAGAUACAGAUACAACCCCAAAAUAUGUUGCAUCGCAGCUCCUUAAGGCAGUGGAACUACACAAUAUAACUGCUGGAAUAUUGCCUUUUUCAGCCGAAUCACGUAUACCCGUAUACGAAAGCCAAUCCAAAUCUCCUAUAUCAAAUUUUAAUGAACAUGUCGUGAAUUAUCUUUUAUAUUUAAUUUUUGCUCUGAAACAUAAAGCAGCGAUGGGUAAACUACAAUUUUUUUAAAUGUAAUUGACUUAUUUCAAGACCUAGGAAGUAAGUUAUAAAAAAUCAAGAACAUUUAGAAUAUAAAACAGAUAUUUUUUACUUAAUGAAUUGCUACCACAAAAACAUAAUGGAAAAGAAAAACAAUGAAAUUCAUUAUUUAUGUGUCUUUGGAGUACCGUUGGGAAUUGUACGAAACUUAUAACUCCAAGGACUACCGACUCCAAAGACAUAUGCUUAUUGGACAUAAAGUUAUUAAAAAAAUUUACCUAAGAUUAAGCAGACCUGACAAACUCUUGAAGUAGACAAAAUGCAGUAUGUGUUGUAUUUUUUUAGUGUGAAGCUGGAAAGCGUACAGAACUAUUCAAUUAUUACUUUAAAUUUUAAUACUUGGAUCUUGAAUUUAAGUGCGGUUUUACAUUACAAACGGUUUUUUAAAGGUAGAAUAACAUUUCUGUGUCUAUCGAUAUCGAUAUAUUAAAGUUACCAUAUAUAUUGAAAAACAGGAUUUCACUUUCUUGAUUAUUUAUAUAUACCUUUAACUUCACUAUACUGUAUACUAUAUACAACUAUUCAACCAAGCUAAAGAAAUAAAUCUUGCUUAAUAUA